rnacentral:rRNA from 1 species
CCUACGGGUGGCAGCAGUGGGGAAUAUUGGGCAAUGGGCGCAAGCCUGCCCCAGCAACGCCGCGUGAAUGAUGAAGGCCCUCGGAUUGUACACUUCUUUUAUCGAGGAUGAACAAAAUGACGGUACCUGAUGAACAAGCCACGGCUAACUACGUGCCAGCAGCCGCGGUAAUACGUAGGUGGCAAGCGUUGUCCGGAUUUAUUGGGCGUAAAGGGAGUGCAGGCGGUUUAGUAAGUCGGAGGUGAAAGCCUUCGGCUCAACCGGAGAACUACAGCAGAAACUGUUGGACUUGAGUGCAGGAGAGGAGAGUGGAACGCCAGGUGUAGCGGUGGAAUGCGUAGAUAUAUGGAAGAACACCGAUGGCGAAGGCAGCUUACUAAACUGUGACUGACAUUGAUGCUCGAAAGUGUGGGGAUCAAACAGGAUUAGAUACCCGAGUAGUC